rnacentral:rRNA from 1 species
UAUACAUGCAGUAGAACGCUGAAGAGAGGAGCUUGCUCUUCUUGGAUGAGUUGCGAACGGGUGAGUAACGCGUAGGUAACCUGCCUUGUAGCGGGGGAUAACUAUUGGAAACGAUAGCUAAUACCGCAUAACAAUGGAUGACACAUGUCAUUUAUUUGAAAGGGGCAAUUGCUCCACUACAAGAUGGACCUGCGUUGUAUUAGCUAGUAGGUGAGGUAAUGGCUCACCUAGGCGACGAUACAUAGCCGACCUGAGAGGGUGAUCGGCCACACUGGGACUGAGACACGGCCCAGACUCCUACGGGAGGCAGCAGUAGGGAAUCUUCGGCAAUGGGGGCAACCCUGACCGAGCAACGCCGCGUGAGUGAAGAAGGUUUUCGGAUCGUAAAGCUCUGUUGUAAGUCAAGAACGGGUGUGAGAGUGGAAAGUUCACACUGUGACGGUAGCUUACCAGAAAGGGACGGCUAACUACGUGCCAGCAGCCGCGGUAAU